UACGGGGGGGCAAGCGUUGUUCGGAAUUACUGGGCGUAAAGGGUGCGUAGGCGGUGCUCUAAGUCGGAUGUGAAAACUCUGGGCUCAACCCGAGAGCCUGCAUCCGAAACUGGAGUGCUAGAGUUCUGGAGGGGUAGCGGAAGUUCCUCGGUGUAGCGGUGAAAUGCGCAGAUAUCAGGAAGAACACCCGUGGCUAAGGCGGCUCUCUAGUACGGUACUGACGCUGAGACGCGAAAGCGUGGGGAGCGAACAGG
rnacentral:rRNA from 1 species